rnacentral:rRNA from 1 species
CACGGGGGGAGCAAGCGUUGUUCGGAAUCACUGGGCGUAAAGGGCGUGUAGGCGGUCUGGUAAGUGGGAUGUGAAAGCCCCCGGCUCACCCGGGGAUCUGCAUUCCAAACUGCCAGACUUGAGUAUGGGAGAGGACAGGGGAAUUCCUGGUGUAGCGGUGAAAUGCGUAGAUAUCAGGAGGAACACCGGUGGCGAAAGCGCCUGUCUGGCCCAAUACUGACGCUGAUGCGCGAAAGCUAGGGGAGCAAACGGG